UACGAAGGGGGCUAGCGUUGUUCGGAAUCACUGGGCGUAAAGGGCGCGUAGGCGGUUCGUACAGUCAGACGUGAAAUUCCUGGGCUCAACCUGGGGGCUGCGUUUGAUACGUGCGGACUUGAGUGCGGAAGAGGGUCGUGGAAUUCCCAGUGUAGAGGUGAAAUUCGUAGAUAUCAGGAGGAACACCAAUGGCGAAGGCAGCACUCUGGGACGUGACUGACGCUGAGACGCGAAAGCGUGGGGAGCAAACAGG
rnacentral:rRNA from 1 species